AUGAAGAAAUCUAUGUGGGAUAUGUUAAAUGGCAGCAAGGCCGGUGUUAUAUUGCGGCACUUUCUCGGAAUAAUGUCUGCAAACCAAGAACGGAAACGGUGCGCAAACUCUAAUCUCACUGAAACAGCCUGCAGAGGUACAUGUAUAAAUCAGAGGUUAAGCAGAAAUGUGGUUUUUUGGAAGAAAGUGAAGGCACUUUCAGUAUUUAAUUAGCAGAAUGCUAAUUGGGUAAAUGAGGGAGAAUUAAAAGGGAAGAACAGAGUGUCUAAGAGAUUGGUGGUGAAGCUGUUACAGCUGAAUAUUUGACCUGUGAAUUGAAACAGUAAAUCAAGAGCAAAUUCUAAACUUGAGAGUUGUGGUAUUGAACGUGAAGAUGUUCAGAAGAUCUAGAUUCUGAGAGCGAAAAUACUUGUAAAAGAAAAGCCCUGUUAGCCAAGAAUUUGUGCAUGCUUUAUGCAGAUGGACUUCCUAGCACCAACUGCAUUUUCACUCCUUGUGAUCCUGUGAGCAAUUUUGUUGGUUGCUUUUUUCCCCCCCACGUGGCUGUGAUGCAUCAGAGCUGGGAGCAGAGGCAGGAAAAGGAGGUCAAAAAAUAAGUUUUUGCUCAUGGGCAGUCACAUUAUAAAAUGCUCAGGAAGGGCUUUAUUCAUAAGGAAUGGAACCACACACUUCACCAUGGUUACAAGGAGUGUAAUUUAAACGCAUGCAGCCCCGAGGCACCACAGGCAGAGGUGUGAUAAGUCUGAGCGUCCAGUCUGCAGAGAAGGAAAGUGCAAAAUCUCUGAGUCCAGGUUCACGUUUAGCUUUCUGCUUGUCAAACAGUGCUUCUUGAUGAUUUAAAUGUAAUGAUGAGAGUGCUCCAGCACCUCACAGCACUGCUGGGCUCUGAGUGCUGUGCGCCACCUCUGAGCAGGCCUCACUCAGUGCUGGUAGUGCUGUGCUGGGGGAGAGGCUUUGCAACCUGAGAAGUCUGUCCUGUGGUCGUGUAUUGUUUGAUGGCCACAAACCCAGAAGACCGCAUCUCUUUUUGUAACUGUGCAGAUGCAAACAGCUCGAGGCAGUCCAAGCAGCAACCAAGCAGAGAAAAGCAAAGUCAGUGUUACAGGAUGUCUUCCAAAGCACUUGCAAAGUUAAAUAAGCAGUAAAUGAUUCUACUCAUGUGCAAAAUUCAUUUAGGUUAUAGCUGGAAACAAAGCCCUGUGAAGCACUCGUU
rnacentral:lncRNA from 1 species